GCUUGGGAGGCCUAUUUUGGCUCAAGGCUGCUGACACAUGCUUGCAGGCAAAAUACAUACAUAAAAAUCAAUAAAAUAAAAUAACUUUUUUAAAAAGACAAAAAAAAUUAAAGAGGCAAGCUGUAGACUUGGAAAAAGCAAAAUAUAUUUAACAAAGGACUUCUAAUGAGAAUCUCAAACAAUUCUUACACCUCAAAAAGAAACAACCCUGUUUUCUCAAAUGGUCAAAGACUGGACGAACCUUCUAGAUUACGGACGGUAAAUAAAUGAAGUAUCAAUGCAAUGCCACAAGAGCAGCUAAAAUUGAAAGGACUGUAUUAAAUAUUGGAAGGUAUGUCUGAGGCCUCCUCCCAGUCUGUAAGGUCAUUAAACAUCUGUGCCAGGACUGUGGGAAUACUGAAGGAAGACUGUGAGUGGCCGUGGAUGAGAAGAGCUUCUGUAGGCAUGAACGAACUAUAGCAGUGGCACCAGAUGUCAGCAAUUUUCACAUCAAGGUGGCUUCAGGAUCCAAGUAUCAGUGCUGAGGUCAGCAAUAACAACUGAAGAGAUGGCAGUGCCUGGAGGACUCUGUGGUGGUUGCAGAAGUAGACAUCAAUCUCUAGGUAUCAUCUGAGAGGGAGCACUGUGCUAUCUAGGACAGUGCCAGGGAAGCAGCAUAGAAGCUGGCAAGGUCAGUGGGCCUUGUGGGUGUGGCAGUGACAGGAAGAUAGAGACACUGUGCUUAGGGGAGACAGUGGACCUGGGGUGGCACCCAGAGGAAAUGGUUGCAGUGCUUGUUGGGAAAUGGAAAAACCAGCAGAGGUGGUUGAUGUGCUCUAUGGAAGGUACAGUAGCUGUGAGCAGAGUAGAAUUAGGCCAAGGGCAAUGGGGAAAACUCAGUACCGUGUGGGAGGUAACCACACUGGCUUGUGAGCACGUUGAGUAAUAUACUUGUAGAUAAACCUGGAAGGUUGUCACAUUGCCCUAGGAAUGCCUUUCUGAUCUUAGGUAAAUCAGAAGGGUUAUGCUUCUGCUUUAACAGACCCAGGGGAAUGAAGGUCACAGCAGUGCCUCUCAAACCAUAGUUUUGGGAGAGGAGAACAA